GCACCAAUUCUCUUCACAUCUUUUCUUUGAACUGGGGCUCUGCUUAGCUUGCUGAGCUUGCACUCUGCUUUAUGAGCCCACUGACUCAAAAUAUUUAGACUUAUUAUAAAGUAAAAAGAACACUGAAAGUAGUUCAUAAAAGACAAAAUUUUGCUUGAAAAGAAUACUAAGGGCCACUGGGGAGCCCCAAAUGAUGGCUCUUAAGCCAACAGUAUAGUGCAAGAGAGGGGUGCCUUCUUUUUCAUAUAAGGAGGAUAUCGCCCUAUCUUCCUUGCAAGUAGUUGCAACAAACCGAUAAGGGACAAAGUCCCACAUCUUCUUUUUCUUUUUGACUCUAUAUUUUAUUGGUAGUAUCUUU
rnacentral:misc_RNA from 1 species